rnacentral:rRNA from 1 species
UACAGAGGGGGCAAGCGUUGUUCGGAAUUACUGGGCGUAAAGGGCGCGUAGGCGCCUUCUAAGUCGAACGUGAAAUCCCCGGGCUCAACCCGGGAACUGCGUCCGAUACUGGAAGGCUUGAAUCCGGGAGAGGGAUGUGGAAUUCCAGGUGUAGCGGUGAAAUGCGUAGAUAUCAGGAGGAACACCGGUGGCGAAGGCGGGUCUCUGGGCAGUAACUGACGCUGAGGAGCGAAAGCGUGGGGAGCAAACAGG